rnacentral:rRNA from 1 species
GCUGGCGGCGUGGCUAAUACAUGCAAGUCGAGCGAACGGACGAGAGUGCUUGCACUCUCUGAUGUUAGCGGCGGACGGGUGAGUAACACGUGGGUAACCUACCUAUAAGACUGGGAUAACUUCGGGAAACCGGAGCUACUACCGGAUAAUAUUUAGCUUCGCAUGAAGCAAUAGUGAAAGACGGUUCUGCUGUCACUUAUAGAUGGACCCGCGGUGUAUUAGCUAGUUGGUGAGGUAACGGCUCAUCAAGGCAACGAUACAUAGCCGACCUGAGAGGGUGAUCGGCCACACUGGGACUGAGACACGGCCCAGACUCCUACGGGAGGCAGCAGUAGGGAAUCUUCCGCAAUGGACGAAAGUCUGACGGAGCAACGCCGCGUGAGUGAAGAAGGUUUUCGGAUCGUAAAACUCUGUUGUAAGGGAAGAACAAGUACGUUAGUAACUGAACAUACCUUGACGGUACCUUACCAGAAAGCCACGGCUAACUACGUGCCAGCAGCCGCGGUAAUACGUAGGUGGCAAGCGUUAUCCGGAAUUAUUGGGCGUAAAGCGCGCGUAGGCGGUCUCUUAAGUCUGAUGUGAAAGCCCCCGGCUCAACCGGGGAGGGUCAUUGGAAACUGGGAGACUUGAGUGCAGAAGAGGAGAGUGGAAUUCCAUGUGUAGCGGUGAAAUGCGCAGAGAUAUGGAGGAACACCAGUGGCGAAGGCGGCUCUCUGGUCUGUAACUGACGCUGAGGUGCGAAAGCGUGGGGAUCAAACAGGAUUAGAUACCCUGGUAGUCCACGCCGUAAACGAUGAGUGCUAAGUGUUGGGGGGUUUCCGCCCCUCAGUGCUGCAGCUAACGCAUUAAGCACUCCGCCUGGGGAGUACGGUCGCAAGACUGAAACUCAAAUGAAUUGACGG